UAAGGAAUAUUGGUCAAUGGGCGCAAGCCUGAACCAGCCAUCCAGCGUGCAGGAAGAAGGCCCUAUGGGUUGUAAACUGCUUUUGUCAGGGAAGAAACCUUGGGAUUUACUCCUGAGCUGACGGUACCUGAAGAAUAAGCACCGGCUAACUCCGUGCCAGCAGCCGCGGUAAUACGGAGGGUGCGAGCGUUAUCCGGAAUUACUGGGUUUAAAGGGUGCGUAGGCGGCCAGGUAAGUCAGGAGUGAAAGUUUGCGGCUCAACCGUAAAAUUGCUUUUGAUACUGCCAGGCUAGAAUUAGGAUGAGGUCAGCGGAAUGUGGCAUGUAGCGGUGAAAUGCAUAGAUAUGCCAUAGAACACCAAUUGCGAAGGCAGCUGGCUAGACCUGGAUUGACGCUGAGGCACGAAAGCGUGGGGAGCGAACAGGAUUAGAUACCCUGGUAGUCCACGCCCUAAACGAUGCUCACUCGACGUAUGUCGCUAGACGAUGUGCGUCCAAGGGAAACCGUUAAGUGAGCCACCUGGGGAGUACGACCGCAAGGUUG
rnacentral:rRNA from 1 species